UGGGGAAUCUUGCGCAAUGGGCGAAAGCCUGACGCAGCGACGCCGCGUGAGUGAUGAAGGCCCUCGGGUUGUAAAGCUCUGUGGAGGGGGACGAAUAAGCGUUGGUUAAUAUCCAGCGUGAUGACGGUACCCUUUUAGCAAGCACCGGCUAACUCUGUGCCAGCAGCCGCGGUAAGACAGAGGGUGCAAACGUUGUUCGGAAUUACUGGGCGUAAAGCGCGUGUAGGCUGCUUCGCAAGUCGGAUGUGAAAGCCCUGGGCUCAACCCAGGAAGUGCAUUCGAAACUGCAGAGCUGGAGUCCUGGAGAGGAAGGCGGAAUUCUCGGUGUAGAGGUGAAAUUCGUAGAUAUCGAGAGGAACACCGGUGGCGAAGGCGGCCUUCUGGACAGUGACUGACGCUGAGACGCGAAAGCGUGGGGAGCAAACAG
rnacentral:rRNA from 1 species